GAGUUUGAUCCUGGCUCAGGAUGAACGCUGGCGGCGUGCCUAAUACAUGCAAGUCGAGCGAACAGAUAAGGAGCUUGCUCCUUUGACGUUAGCGGCGGACGGGUGAGUAACACGUGGGUAACCUACCUAUAAGACUGGAAUAACUCCGGGAAACCGGGGCUAAUGCCGGAUAAUAUUUAGAACCGCAUGGUUCUAAAGUGAAAGAUGGUUUUGCUAUCACUUAUAGAUGGACCCGCGCCGUAUUAGCUAGUUGGUGGGGUAAUGGCUUACCAAGGCAACGAUACGUAGCCGACCUGAGAGGGUGAUCGGCCACACUGGAACUGAGACACGGUCCAGACUCCUACGGGAGGCAGCAGUAGGGAAUCUUCCGCAAUGGGCGAAAGCCUGACGGAGCAACGCCGCGUGAGUGAUGAAGGUCUUCGGAUCGUAAAACUCUGUUAUUAGGGAAGAACAAAUGUGUAAGUAACUGUGCACGUCUUGACGGUACCUAAUCAGAAAGCCACGGCUAACUACGUGCCAGCAGCCGCGG
rnacentral:rRNA from 1 species